GAUGAACGCUAGCGGAAGGCUUAAUACAUGCAAGUCGAGCGGUAGGUGGCUUCGGCCAUUGAGAGCGGCGCACAGGUGAGUAACGCGUACAUGACCUGCCUGUCAGAAGGGGAUAGCCCUGGGAAACUGGGAUUAAUACCCUAUGGUAUUGAUAUUAUGAAUGAUAUCAAUUAAAGUUGAGGCGCUGACAGAUGGAUGUGCGUCUGAUUAGCUAGUUGGUAGGGUAACGGCCUACCAAGGCGACGAUCAGUAGGGGGCGUGAGAGCGUGGUCCCCCACACGGGUACUGAGACACGGACCCGACUCCUACGGGAGGCAGCAGUAAGGAAUAUUGGUCAAUGCCCGCAAGGGUGAACCAGCCAUUCCGCGUGGAGGAUGAAGGCCCUAUGGGUUGUAAACUUCUUUUAGAUGGGAAGAAAAUGCUAGAUGUAUCUGGUACUGACGGUACCAUCAGAAUAAGCACCGGCUAACUCCGUG
rnacentral:rRNA from 1 species